rnacentral:tRNA from 1 species
GCCUGGGUGGCUCAGUUGGUGAAGCGUCUGACUUCGGCUCAGGUCAUGAUCUCGCGGGUUCGUGGGCUCGAGCCCCGCGUCAGGCU